rnacentral:lncRNA from 12 species
GUAAUUUCAUGCAGAUAACAUAGUAGUUAUGAGUUAUUUAUCUUUCUGUUUUCCUACAGGGAGGGAGUCGUGUAGAACAUAAAUAGGACACCUCUAGAAAAAUAACUUAAUGGGGAUGCAGUCCUGUGCUUCCUGUUUACUGAUCCUUAACUUAGAGAUUUCUGGAACAGGAUUCUGCACUAAUGGGUAGAACUAGGUAGCCAACACCCUUGGCUGUGUGGAUCUUGGCUGAGAUGGUGAGGAGUGCUGCAACCCAAGUGUGAUUCCACCGCCAGCUCCAUCAAUGCUUCAUACUGAGAAUGGCUCCCAUCCACCCCACAGAACCAAGUGUUGCUCACUGGAAUUCACCUUGCUGAAGAGCACGACUUUUCAAGGCUCCUGGACUGCUGCACAAACACAGGCUGCUUGUGUUGUUUUGGCUAACAGCUCAAGUAUCCUAGCAAGUCCUACUUAAUAAGAUACCUGAUAAGGCUUGAUUGUGCUUCACUAUGUUUGAAUUUCUUGGGGAGCUGUUUAGAUGAUGAAAGUGCUCCAGUGCCUGCAUUUGUGUAAAACUCCAGAAUUAUAAAACACAGCUUUUAGUGUCUCUUAAAGUCUCAGAUGAUUGAAAUACCAAAAGGAUUUGCAUAUUGAAGUAUUUUACUUAGUAUCUCAAUAUUGGCAUAGAUGAUACAUUGUGUAAAUAAUAUCUGUUAAUGCUUUGCUUUAUGUGUUCCAUUUUGUUGGUGUGACUGUUAAAUAAAAUAGUCAGAAAGCAAUUCCACGGUUCCUUGCAGUAUCAGAACCUAUAGAAGGAAAAGGUCAUGUGUAGAUCAUCUAGUUUUUAUCUUGACGACAG